rnacentral:snoRNA from 1 species
ACUCCAUGGUGUGGACAUUUUCGUUGUAAAUCCUUGAAUCUUUCCCAUGCAUCAUGAAGCGUUCCGUUGUUACGUUGCUUGAAGCUAGUGAUGUCAGUUCUCAACUU